UGUAUUGUUUUGUGGUGUGAGCCUGCGCCUU
rnacentral:piRNA from 1 species